rnacentral:rRNA from 1 species
AGAGUUUGAUCCUGGCUCAGAUUGAACGCUGGCGGCAGGCUUAACACAUGCAAGUCGAACGAUGAUUAUCUAGCUUGCUAGAUAUGAUUAGUGGCGGACGGGUGAGUAACAUUUAGGAAUCUGCCUAGUAGUGGGGGAUAGCUCGGGGAAACUCGAAUUAAUACCGCAUACGACCUACGGGUGAAAGGGGGCGCAAGCUCUUGCUAUUAGAUGAGCCUAAAUCAGAUUAGCUAGUUGGUGGGGUAAAGGCCCACCAAGGCGACGAUCUGUAACUGGUCUGAGAGGAUGAUCAGUCACACCGGAACUGAGACACGGUCCGGACUCCUACGGGAGGCAGCAGUGGGGAAUAUUGGACAAUGGGGGCAACCCUGAUCCAGCCAUGCCGCGUGUGUGAAGAAGGCCUGCGGGUUGUAAAGCACUUUCGGUCGGGAAGAUUGCCGUUGCGGUUAAUACCCGCAGUGGUUGACGUUACCGACAGAAGAAGCACCGGCUAACUCCGUGCCAGCAGCCGCGGUAAUACGGAGGGUGCGAGCGUUAAUCGGAAUUACUGGGCGUAAAGGGUGCGUAGGCGGUCGGGCAAGUCGGAUGUGAAAGCCCCGGGCUUAACCCGGGAAUUGCAUUCGAUACUGUUCGGCUAGAGUGCGAUAGAGGGUGGUGGAACUCCCGGUGUAGCGGUGAAAUGCGUAGAUAUCGGGAAGAACACCAGUGGCGAAGGCGGCCACCUGGAUCGUAACUGACGCUGAGGCACGAAAGCGUGGGGAGCAAACAGGAUUAGAUACCCUGGUAGUCCACGCCCUAAACGAUGAGAACUAGCCGCUGGGAGGAUUAGCCUUUCAGUGGCGCAGCUAACGCGUUAAGUCUCC